UACGUAGGGGGCAAGCGUUGUCCGGAUUUAUUGGGCGUAAAGAGCGUGUAGGCGGCCAGACAGGUCAGCUGUGAAAACUCGAGGCUCAACCUCGAGACGUCGGUUGAAACCGUCUGGCUAGAGACCGGAAGGGGAGAGUGGAAUUCCCGGUGUAGCGGUGAAAUGCGCAGAUAUCGGGAAGAACACCCGUGGCGAAGGCGGCUCACUGGCUCAUUACUGACGCUCAGGCGCGAUAGCCUGGGGAGCAAACAGG
rnacentral:rRNA from 1 species